rnacentral:rRNA from 1 species
AAAGGAAUAGACGGGGGCCCGCACAAGCGGCGGAGCAUGUGGCUUAAUUCGACGCAACGCGAAGAACCUUACCAGGGUUUGACAUGCUCGCGAAAACCGUGGAAACACGGUCCUCCUUCGGGACGCGUGCACAGGUGGUGCAUGGCUGUCGUCAGCUCGUGUCGUGAGAUGUUGGGUUAAGUCCCGCAACGAGCGCAACCCUUAUCGCAUGUUGCCAGCGGGUUAUGCCGGGAACUCAUGCGAGACUGUCGGUGUCAAACCGGAGGAAGGUGGGGAUGACGUCAAGUCAUCAUGCCCCUUAUGCCCUGGGCUGCACACGUGCUACAAUGGCCGGUACAGAGGGCUGCGAUACCGCGAGGUGGAGCGAAUCCCAAAAAGCCGGUCUAAGUUCGGAUUGGAGGCUGCAACUCGCCUUCAUGAAGUCGGAGUCGCUAGUAAUCGCGAAUCAGCAAUGUCGCGGUGAAUACGUUCCCGGGCCUUGUACACACCGCCCGU